AUGAGUCUGUGGGGUCUUCUCCUCUGCCUGUUGACAGCUCCCCAAGGUGUGCUGUCUGACGUGACACUGCAGGAGUCGGGCCCAGGACUGGUGAAGCCCUCGCAGACCCUCACCCUCACCUGUGCUGUCUCUAGAGUCUCCAUCACAACCAGUUAUUAUGGCUUCAGCUGGAUCCUCCAGGCCUCGAGGAAGGGACUCGAGUGGAUGAGGGGCAUAGAUUAUGAUGGUGACAAGUACUACAGCCCGUCCCUCAAGAGCCGCACCUCCAUCUCCAGAGACACGUCCAAGAACCAGAUCUCCCUGCAGCUGAGCUCUGUGACCCCCGAGGACACGGCCGUGUAUUACUGUGCAAGCUGCACAAUGACAUUUGGCAACGAUUGA